AGGUACUGAAGGAUAAACCGGCUGCCAUGGCAAGCAAUACACCCCAAAAAAACGCCUCUUCUCAUUUCGAGAAUAUGUACACGCAGGAGAACACACCAAGGAAGGUUCUAGAUAACGUGGAGAUACAGCCGAGUCACGUGCUACGUGAGCGAAACAGACACAGCGACAUCUUCAACAGGGAGGAGGAGGAGGAGGGGGGGAAACCGGUUCCUGUUAUCAGGUCUAACGAUGCCGCUAACGACUCAGCAAGAGUUCAGUACAAGGCGCGUCAAGAAACCAGUAAUGUUUUCGCUCAAGAGCAGAACGCACCACCUCCAGCACAGGCUGAGAAACCACACAAGAUCUCUAACGUGUGCUUCUAAUUUGAGAGGGCCGGGAUUGUGGAGUAGAAAUAUAUUUAGCUUACAGUAUUAUUUUCUUAGCAAAGUUAUCUCAAAACUUAGUAACUACAGACAUUUCAAAUAUGUAGAAAUAUCAGUGACCGACUUCAAAAAAUCGUCCAGCUUCGGGAUCACUGUCGGUCACUAGGAAAUAUGUACAGAAUUAGAAUGGUAGUUUAUUGUAAAUAUAGCGCAAAAGCAUUUUGAUAUUAUAUGUAUUAAAUAUUAUUCGAUAUAAUAUAAUCAAAUAUGAAAGUUUGAAUGAUUAGCAGAAUAUUUUUGGCUGACUUCGGACAAUUUGAGUUGUUGAUUUCAGGGUCAUUAAGUUGUCAUUUUUCUGUAAGUUGCUAAUUUUUUUCAUAGCCCUGUAAUGUAUACUAUUUCUUUUGCAAUUGUAAAUUGUUACAGAGGUAUUGUCCUUAAUAGUAAUACAUCUUUAAAUCUAGAUCUAGACUCUAGAGAUGAACUUUCGUACUAAGAACUUUUCUACUUUGUUGUUUUGGAGUCGGUCGUGAAUUUAGCAACAUUAUAAUGAAAUAAUGUAAUGGUAACGUAUCUGUCAUGGUAACGCAUCUAUACAUUUCUUAUAGUUGAAAUAAAUGUACAUUUAAUGAUUAUAAUUUUAACCA